UCUAGGUGAUUUCAAAGCACAACACAAUUGUGCACAAUACAUUGGGCAAUAUAUUCCUGUACAAGCUUGACUUCAGCUAGACUUUGUUUCCUGAAGUUCUUCCAGAAAAAAAAAACCUCCAAAAGAUGAGUAAGGAGAAACAGCCAAACACUUAAGAAUAUAACAGUUCAUAAUAGGAAUAUGAAAUGAAAUAUAAACAGUUCGGAAUAUGAAUAUGACCUUGUUUUCUGUCGCUUCCUUUCUACUGUUUAAUUUCACUGCUGAUACCUAUCAGUUAAGAGAAUUUUAUGCUAUACUGUUCUUAGUUACAAUGUGUCUAUGGUACAAAAUUUGAAGUUAUCAGUGCUCUUAAAUUCAGGGGAAACUUGAUGUGAUAGUUCAUAGAAUAUACCCUUUAGCUUUACCUUUGUUACUGCUGUCAUUUCUUGUCCUUUUUUCAAUAUUUAUUUAUUUGAAAGGCAGACUGAGAAAGAGAGAGAGAAAGAAAAUCUUCCAUUCACUGGUUCAUUACCUAAAUAGAUACAGUAGCCACAGCCAGGCUGGUGCAAAGCCAGGAAUCAAGAGCCAGGAGCCAUUAGCUUUUUCCAGAGCUCUCAUUUGGGUGGCAGAGGCCCAAGGACUUGGGCCAUCACUCACUGCUUUCCCAGGCACAUUAGCAGGGGACUGUAUUAGAAGUGGAGCAGCUGAGAGUCAAACCUUUGCCCACGUGGGAUGCUGGCGUUGAAGGAGCAGCUUAACCCACUAUUCUACAAUGCCAGCCCUGGUCAUUUGUUCUUAAUGGUAUACCCACUCCUACCCCACAAGGAGCUUUGUGUCCGAAAAAUAAAAACAGCCUAAAUACGAUUUCUGUGCUUCAGAAUCCACUACCUUUUUUCAGCUUCUCAUAGAACGUAUAGGCCCUAUAGUUUUCUGAUUCCUACUCCAUUAAAAUAAUCCUUCUUAUUUCCCAGAUGAGCUCUUGUUAUGUCACAUGGAAAGAUGAAGAUUGUCUCGAAGGUGCCUUGCAGAAAUACGGAUAUGAAAGGUGAUUCUGGUGAGGUCUCACAUGGAAAUGUGGAUAAUGUCACUUGACAUUGGAGGAAAGGCGACAGACUUAGGAGACAAGUGGCCAGCAGCAGCAGGCUUUGGGCACCAUGAAAACACAAGUAGAGCUGAGAAACCUUAAGGAAUCUGUGGCAUGAAUAUAUAGGGACAGCAGACCUUGAGCAGAGCUUUCUCCAUCCACAAAGCACCACUUCAAUCUAGUUCACAUAAAUUGAAGACCAAUCAUUGCUGUUUGGAGUACCAAAUUAAGGACACUUGGAGGGACCAGCGCUGAGGCAUAGUGGGUAAAGCUGCUGCCCGAAGUAAAGACAUCCCAUAUGACACCAGUUUGAGUCCUGGCUGCUCCACUUCCAAUUCAGCUCUCUGCUAUGGCCUGGAAAAGCAGUAGAAGAUGGCCCAAGUCCUUGGACCCCUGCACCCAUGUGGGAGACCCGGAAGAAUCUCCUGGCUCUUGGCUUUGGAUCUGUGCAGCACCAGCUGUUGCGGCCAUUUGGGGGGUGAAUCAGUGGAUGGAAGACUUCUCUCUCUCUCCCUCUGCCUCUGCCUGUCAGUAAUUCUUAUUUUCAAACAAAUCAAUAUUAGAAAAAAAGAGGACACUUGGAGGAAAAAAAUUGGGAUUUAAAAGUUCUGAAUUCAUGAUAAUCAAAUAUAUGGAGGUUCCAUAGAUUGCAAUUUAUUUUGAAAAUGUGCUCUGAGACAGUAUAAUGAUUAACACUAUUGGUUAUUGAGAAAAGGACCCAAAUUACAGGAUACAACUGAACACAGAGUUCAAUUUUAAUAGAAAAAGAAAGGCCGGCGCCGCGGCUCACUAGGCUAAUCCUCCACCUUGCGGCGCCGGCACACCGGGUUCUAGUCCCGGUCAGGGCGCUGGAUUCUGUCCCGGUUGCCCCUCUUCCAGGCCAGCUCUCUGCUGUGGCCAGGGAGUGCAGUGGAGGAUGGCCCAGGUGCUUGGGCCCUGCACCCCAUGGGAGACCAGGAAAAGCACCUGGCUCCUGGCUCCUGCCAUCGGAUCGGCGCGGUGUGCCGGCCGCAGCGCGCCGGCCGCGGCGGCCAUUGGAGGGUGAACCAACGGCAAAAGAAGACCUUUCUCUCUGUCUCUCUCUCACUGUCCACUCUGCCUGUCAAAAAAAAAAAAAAGAAAAAAGAAAAAAAAAAAAGAAAAAGAAAGCAUAACCCGUGUAUUUGUAGUAGUGUGAGUUUUAACAUACAUGAGACUCACAACUAGAGCAAGAGAGGGUAUCUUGGUAAGUAAUAUUUAGGAUUUAUGGGGUGAUUGUUCUAGUUCUAUUAAUCUUAUGCCAAACCUUACUUAGCAUGUUUGGGUAGGGAAAGUAUCACCUGCAUUUUGGCAGCAAGGUGAAGGCAUCCAAGGAUAUAAGUGGCGCAUUGUCAAUCAUGUCCAAUCUGCGGGGCAAUUUAUUCACUGUGAGCCUGUUCUUACUGUCCACAGUGUCUGUAGGUUUUUGUAGGCAGCUGAUUUAAUGAAUGGUUAAAACUGGAUACGGGCAUCCCUAACUGCAUUGCCCUGUCUGUCUGUUGUUUAGCUUUAGAAGCCCUCUGCAUCCCUUUUCUCGUCUGAUUGAAGAGUUUCCUACAUUCCUCCUCUCUGCUUUGCUGGCUCCAAGAGCAACAGCCACACAAAAGUGGAUCCAGGGAGUCUGGAUAAUUGCAUAAGUAACUUCUCUGAACUUUUACUAAACCAUUUACAUAGCAAUUGUAUUACAUUUUCCUCCUUUUGUGAAUAUUAAGAAACAAACACAAUAAAUAAUAACAUCUAAAUGUACUUAGCAUUUUACUAUUAUAUAGUUAACAGUAAUACAUAAUAUAAUAAUCACAAGGAUGAAGAGUAGAUAUCAUGAGUUUUUAUGCCUUCUGUAAUAGUAAAAAAAGCAGAUGAGAGGCUAGGCAUUGGGAGAUGUGAGUUCAAUGUCAUCUUUUUCACUCUUUGUGUUCCUCAGUCAUUCCCCCGACCCCUUCUUCAGCCUCAGGUUCUUGUGCUAUUGACUUUCAUAAACUCUUCCUGAAGGCCUGAUAUUUAACAUGAAGUUAGGUCAUUUAUAAACUGCAGAAAUUUAUUUCUUACUGUUUUAUAGUUUGAGAAGUACAAGAUCAUGAAGACCCAAAUGGAAAACAAUGAGGUUCUAUCAACUGCAGAAGUCACCAUGUAUUGGGAUAAAGUGAGGUGGCUAUGAGAUGGUCAAAGACCCAGCUGUAAUUCAAAUAAUGACUAGGGAAGUUCUUAAUGAGAAAUAAACUAUGCCAAAUAGAUUAUGAAAAAAUAUUCAAACCAACAAAGCCCUUGAAUGCUAUACUAAGAGAUAGAAAUUUCUCUAGGUCAGUGAUACUAAACAUUGAAUCUGAUGGUAUCACUUGGUAUUGUGUGUGCAUGUUGAGCGGGUACAGUUGGAGGAGGGAGAUCUUGCUGACAAAUAAGUUUAAAAAGCUCUAUAUAAAACAGAUUAAACAGCAUCCACUUUGAGAAUUUAUUCUCUCUCCUUAAAUGAAAUUCUAAGAAGGGAAUAUUUUGUUAACACUAAUGUUUCCAAACCCCAUUUGACUUAGGAUCAAAAUUUGUUGAGAUGCUAGUAUUUCUCAGAAAAUAGACUGGAAAAUUAUAUAAUCUGGUGAAGAGGAAAUAAUAGGAUUUCAACUGAAAUGCUUGUGAGCAUAGAUGCUUAUAAGAUAAGGGCAGAGAGAACAGGCAAUAAUGGAAUAUGAGAUGUUCUGCCUUUCUAAAGCCAUAGUAUGCUUGCGUUAUGACCGGCUCAGAGAUCCCUAGUGGCCUUAUAUAUAAUUUCAAAGGCUUCAGAAUUUUGAAACCAUAAAUAAACAAAUGUGAAGUCCUUGCUGUUAACAUUCUGCAGGCUUGAUCUCCUUCAAAGAACUUGUCACAGGAUUUGUGUGCAAACUGGCUACUCUAGGACAGAGUUCUUGCCUAUUCAUUGGAAAAGCAAAAAGCAAAACAAAACAUUGUUAACUUUAAAAUUGGAAUGCAUGGUAUCAUGGGUGAGUUUGCCUGAAUGGGUGUAUGUUUGUGGUGGCCUGUAUUUCAUAAAAAAUUGUACAUGUAUCCCUCCAUAUUUCUGUGAAAAUCAAAGAAAAAUUCUGGGAAAGAGGUGAAGCAUAAGAGGGAGACAGGAAAAAGAGAAACAGUGAGAUACAGAAACAAAGAGAACCAUUAGGGUGCACAACACACAGAGUCUCUGUGCUCUGGAGCAUAUAAAUAGACUAUCCAGCAAGAGAAAUUGUAAGGGAGACAUCACUGUGUAAGGGACAGGCCAUCCCAUUUACCAUGACCUCAAAGAGACCCAUUCUACUGUUUAUCAAGGGAAAAUGUCACAGUGGAGACACCUUUGAAUAUUGGUAGACCCCUCCUCACUUCCUAUUGCUAUAUUAGGAUUUCUGAGGGAUAAAGGAGGCUAUCAAAGUCUAUUUUCUCCAAUGCAAUCGCUGUUAUGUUUAUAAAAUUCACAGUAGAGUUGAAAAAUAGUGCAAGAGAAGACCAUAUAAAAGGAAAAUGCUUGUUCCCCUGAGAUUCCAAUCUUUAACUUUAAACAAAGAGGCCAAAUAUGGGAGGAUAAAUUCACUUUCAAAUAUGAGAGUGAAAAAUUUCAAGGCUCCAGUUUCAUAAUAAGGAACAGGCACAGCAAACAUGAAAGAAAUGACUGCUGAAAUUAGUGUUCAAAAAAUACUAAAUAAACCAUAUCAUGUUCCAGAUUCCUUUUUUUUUUUCCAGGAGAAAAGUUCAAACACUUAGCCAUGGCAGGAGGUUAAUUUUCCAGAAAUUUCUUAUACCUACAUAAGCUGUCUUAUCUUACCAUCCUGAACUGAUCUCACGAGAGAACUAAAAGCUCAUUUUUCACAUACUCUACUUCCAUCUGCUUCCUAUUCAGUCUGACCAAUCAUAACUUGCUACACUCUCUAGUGAUGCUGAACCACUUGUGGUUGCAAUUUUUGAUGCAAUGCCUAAUGUUUUUCUUUUAUUCUGGUUUGGCAAUGUCCUAUUCUUGUGCCAAGAGAAAGCAAUACUGAAUGGAAUUAAUUUAUAUUACCACAUGCUUCCAUAAUUGACUACACUGUAGUGUAACUUACUCUUAUUGCAACCAGAAAUAAUCUAUGAUCACAUGUAGACAGUAGUCAUAUUAGCACCACUUGUGUUUUAACCCUUAGGAAAUAUUUAUAGAACUAAUGAAUCAUCCUCUCUCUAUAAAGCAAAAAGAUUCCACCAUAUAAUAUUCCUCUAAUAUAUCCAAAAUAUGUUAUACUUUCUCAAUGUACAUAAAUAUAUUAUUGUCAUAAAAAUUUGAUUUUUUUAAAUGAGGAAGACUUCUUUGUUAAAUAUGAGUUAGAAGGAACCAUUCUUUUUUAAACCUAAUCAUGCAAAAAUUGUUCACCUGGGAAAUAUUUCUGAAAUAUAAUCAGUACAUAAAUAUUUUAACUGCAAAAUAGUUCCUUUCUAGUUUCCUGAUUUUAAUUCCAGCCAAGAAGAUUUUGAUAAUAUAGCUGUAAAAUUAGUUUCAAGCUAGAAUAUGAAUAAAGACUUGAGUCAGGAAGUACAUGCAGUCUGGAGUGUGAAGCAGUAAUCAGGGAUGGAUGUGCAGAAAUUCCAUAUAGAGCAUAUUCUCUACUCUAUAUGAUAUUCUGCAAGUGCUAACAAUGCUACCAGUUCUGGACAAUGGAAAUGAUGGUCAUUAAGUAACUAUGUCAUUCAGAAAUGUGUUCUAACCUGUAUUUUAUUAUAAUUACGAAUAUAUUCCAAACCAUCAAAUUAAGCAGUCACUGAAUCCCUAAGAAUGCAAAAUAGAAAAUGAGAUUUGCCAUUAUGGCCUUGACAGAGAAUAUAAUUUUUCAAAGUAAAAAUUGCUUGAGGUCAAGAAAUGCUUUCUCAGUAGGUAAAAUUAGAGUUUAGUGAUACAAAUAUAACCUGGUAUCUGUUUAUCAUGAUAAAAUAUGUGAUAAAAAUAAAUUGCUGCAGGGGAGACAGGUUUUGCUUUGGAAACAAAUAACAUGUGCAUACAAUUUGUUAAUAAGAAUGAUUAGAAUUUAUCAGUUGUAGCAAGUUUCAUACUUUCUGAAUAAGGGGAUAAUUAAGAAAUCAUAACGUAAGUCAAAUCCUGUGUUUGAUGAUUUUGGAAAUGUGAUCUCCUUGAUUUUCUUGAGAGCCUGUGAAUGUUGUAAUAAUUAUUUUUACAGAUAAUGGAUUUGGUGUUAAUAUCCACCAGCAGAUUUGUGAUUCUCAAUAAAUGGCACUCCAGAUUGUCCUGAGUUUAUCCCAACAUCUCUUUCCGUGGAAUCAUGACUUCUCUUAAUAAAACACAUAUAACUUAAAAUAAAACCAAGAAAAAAUUAAUAAAUAAAAUAAACCAAAUAUUUUGAAAGACAAUAAUGGUGAAAAAUAAUACAUCCAACUUAUUAUAUUAUUUCAAGUUGUGGUAAUUUUCUACGUCUCAUGAAAUUAGUUUGGACAAUAGAUGUGAAAUUACUGCUUGAAUUGUUAAGUACUGUACUAUAUCCUGAUGAAUCCAUUAAAACUGAAAAUGCAUCAAACAUUGUGCCUGAGUUAGCCUGAAUAACAUGGGCACCAAGCACUUACAGUUGCCUAAAAUUAAGUAAAAUCAUUUCACACAGAGCCUAUUUUAUAAUAAACAGUUGCAUACUUCAGGUACACACACAGAUGGAUAUUCUGCAGACACAGUAAGAUGUAAAAACAUAAAACACUGUAUCAAAAAGGAAAAACACUACAAUGUACACUGCAGAUUAUCUGUUUUUUUAUCUUCCAAAUACUUGUAGUAACCCACUGACGGUGUCCAGCACCAUCAGAGAACUUGAAUCUUAUAUUGCCAAGGAAAAGAUCAAAAUGCGAAGUCUAAAGUACUGUUUUCACUGCAUAUGUAUUCUUUUCACCUACUUGUAAAGUCAAAAUGUUGUAAGGUAGUUGGUAGUUGGGGAUUGCCUGUGUAUACACACACACACACAUGUACAUGCACAAAAAUGUGUGUAUGACUAUACAGUGUAAAUAGACAAUAUAUGUACAUCAGCAUCCACACACAGAUACCUCAAAAAGUUCAUGGAAAUGAGAUAAAAAGAUGUUUAUUUGGGCACAUAAUUUUUUAAAUCUCUGGCUGUUUUUUUUUUUCAGAAUAUGCAUG